CUUGACAUUUGUCAUGAUAUCCCUUGCAGAGGACGUACCAUUUCCCGAAGCCUGGCCAUAAGCCUGUUGACUGAUUAUUUUAAUGACUACAAUAACUUGCAGUUUAUGAGCAGUCGAGCGUAACCGUGUUGAUAUUUGUCGGGAGGAUUACACGUUUGAAGUUGCUAAGAUGUCAUACGUCAGGGUUGUCACCUGGUCACCAGUGCCCUUCUGAGACGUAACUGAGCUGAUUUCUCGGUUUGUUGCUCUGGGAGACUCUCCCCUCCCCCAUCCCGUCACCUCCACCGGGACUCCCGCCCUCCCUCGCCACUUAAUCAGGCUCUGAGGGAAAGGGACAGCUCGGUUAUCGUCACAUAUCAGCAGUCAGCUACACUGCCGCUGAAAUUACUGCAGAGAGAGUAGAGGACAGCGAAGGACAGAGCAAAAGCAGGAGCAGGAGCAGAGGAGGGGGUAGCAUUACAUCAACUCCGCAUUCAUGAGCAGUCAGGCACAUUCUCCUGCCGACCCCCAGGGGGCGAUGUCUCAGGAGGUGGACACCCUGGGGCCACGGGCGGAGGCUCUGCUGGCGCUGGCCACCCAGCUGCAGAGCCAGUGCCGGGAGCAGAGUGAGCGGACGGCGGUCCUGGUGGCGCAGCUGCGCGGGGAGGCCCACGGCCUGCACAGGCUGGAUGAUGAGGCCCAGCAGGACAUGUCGGAGAUGAAGCAGCAUCUGGACGAGCUCUGGGACACCAAGAUGGCCUUUGACGCCAAAGAGAGGCAGGCCAGGAAGCUCAGCAGGCAGUUCUGAGAGUGCGCGCGCACACACACACACACACGCACACACACGUUUACAGAGAGGAGAGUCCAGCAGGCCAGGAAGCUCAGCAGGCAGUUCUGAGAGUGCGCGCGCACACACACACACACACACACACACGCACACACACGUUUACAGAGAGGAGAGUCCAGCAGGCCAGGAAGCUCAGCAGGCAGUUCUGAGAGUGCGCGCGCACACACACACACACACACACACACACACACACGCACACACACGUUUACAGAGAGGAGAGUCCAGCAGGCCAGGAAGCUCAGCAGGCAGUUCUGAGAGCGCGCACACACACACACGCACACACACACACACACACACACACGUACGCACACGCUUACAGAGAGGAGAGUCCAGCACCUGUAAAAGGUUCCAUUCUCUGUCAGAGAGUAGGUGAGAGGAGAUGCUUAACAUUUUUCACAUAAAGAACCUUUUCUUUCCACUGCUGAAAACUGCUAUAAGGAUGAUGACGAGACAGCUUUAAGAUGUGUGUGAACGUGGGCUAGAUGAAGCACUCCUGUGGUACCUCCCCACUGUUAAGCACAACGCUGCUACUGCCAGAGAAUAAUGGAAAAAUCUCUAAAAGCUAAAGUUGGUAACGCCAGGGUUUUAUCUUUUGACGUUAUAACAGUUUUCGGUUGUGGGGAACCUUUACGAUACUCAAUGACCCUUUCUUCCAAUAAAGGGCUGUUUUAAAAUAUUUUUCA
rnacentral:lncRNA from 1 species